GGGUCAGUAGGUUGGUCGUGCCACCGGUACGUACUGGUCUCACUGAUUCCUCCUUCCUGAAGAACCGUAAUGCCAUUAAUUUGGUGUUGCGGGGAAACAGGACUGUUACUUUAAAAAAAUUAGAGUGUUUAAAGCAAGCUAACGCUUGAAUACAUUAGCAUGGAAUAAUGAAAUAGGACGAUCGAUCCUAUUUUGUUGGUUUCUAGGAUUGACGUA
rnacentral:rRNA from 1 species